UACGUAGGGUGCGAGCGUUGUCCGGAAUUAUUGGGCGUAAAGAGCUCGUAGGCGGUGUGUCGCGUCGGUCGUGAAAACUUGGGGCUUAACCCUGAGCUUGCGGUUGAUACGGGCAUCACUGGAGUUCGGCAGGGGAGACUGGAAUUCCUGGUGUAGCGGUGAAAUGCGCAGAUAUCAGGAGGAACACCGGUGGCGAAGGCGGGUCUCUGGGCCGAUACUGACGCUGAGGAGCGAAAGCGUGGGGAGCGAACAGG
rnacentral:rRNA from 1 species